rnacentral:rRNA from 1 species
UACGUAGGGGCUAGCGUUAUCCGGAAUUACUGGGCGUAAAGGGUGCGUAGGUGGUUUCUUAAGUCAGAGGUGAAAGGCUACGGCUCAACCGUAGUAAGCCUUUGAAACUGGGAAACUUGAGUGCAGGAGAGGAGAGUGGAAUUCCUAGUGUAGCGGUGAAAUGCGUAGAUAUCAGGAGGAACACCAAUGGCGAAGGCAGGUCUCUGGGCAGUUACUGACGCUGAGGAGCGAAAGCAUGGGUAGCGAACAGGAUUAGAUACCCCUGUAGUCCCU